AUUGAACGCUGGCGGAAUGCUUUACACAUGCAAGUCGAACGGCAGCACGGGUGCUUGCACCUGGUGGCGAGUGGCGAACGGGUGAGUAAUACAUCGGAACGUACCCUGACGUGGGGGAUAACACAGCGAAAGUUGUGCUAAUACCGCAUACGUCCUGAGGGAGAAAGCGGGGGAUCGCAAGACCUCGCGCGUUAGGAGCGGCCGGUGGCGGAUUAGCUAGUUGGUGGGGUAAAGGCUCACCAAGGCGACGAUACGUAGCUGGUGUGAGAGGACGACCAGCCACACUGGAACUGAGACACGGUCCAGACUCCUACGGGAGGCAGCAGUGGGGAAUUUUGGACAAUGGGCGAAAGCCUGAUCCAGCCAUUCCGCGUGAGUGAAGAAGGCCUUCGGGUUGUAAAGCUCUUUCGGCAGGAACGAAACGGUGUGGGCCAAUACCCUGCAUCAAUGACGGUACCUGAAGAAGAAGCACCGGCUAACUACGUGCCAGCCGCCGCGGUAA
rnacentral:rRNA from 1 species